GGUGGGGUGACAGAGUCCGGCUGAAUGUACCAGUCUUGAAAACUGGCGUGGUUUCACGACCACCGUGGGUUCGAAUCCCACCCCCACCGCCA
rnacentral:tRNA from 1 species